GCUUUUAGGGCAAGUCCAUCUUUCCUCUAUAGGAAGAACAACCAACAUAUUACCUUCAAUGGUUAUUAUGUAAUUAACCCCUCUAAACGAUAGGAGUAUUUAUGCGGAUACCAGGUGGAUAAGGUCUGGAUAUCCUUGCAAGCAUAAACUCUGCAUCAUGACUGAGAGAUAGGGUAUGCGAUGUGAUCCAGUGACCACAGAAAAGCGUUGGUAGACACACUGCAUCAAAGUGCCUGUUAACGACAUGAGGAGAGGGACCAUGCUUUGUUAUAAGCAUGUCCAUACACGUAUUACAAUGCCAGGCUUUCAAUUUGUUAUCACAAAGCAAAACGCAGUUGUGGAUAUAAACUCACGACGUAUCGUAAGAAAAACUGUUUGAAC